CCAACACAAGCUCUGCCCAUCUUUUCGGCUAAUGCCAUCUUAUGAAAGGGGUGAAUUCAGAUCCUACUCUGAAGGCAAAGAAAUGGGGCAAAGUGGACCAUGAAGCUCAGAGACCCACAUGAAUGUGAACCACGGUUGAGACCAGCAGACAGAAAGCUCUGAGUGUCUGGGGAUGGGAAGCUUUCUUAUUCCACUGACUUCUCUCGCCAUUUCUUCUCUUUGUCUUCCUCUGCUUCCUCCUCCCUCUUUUGACUUCAGCUGGCAGAGUUGCUUGAAAUGAAGCCGUUCCCUGAAAAGCACACAUGAAUUUCCCCUGCGGAAAAUUCAAACAGACACACUUGAGGAUUUCCACUAAAUUCUCUCUGGCCCCCAGAGCACUGGGGAAGCAUGUGAGACCUGUGCCAUCCCGGAACUGUGGCGACAAUGGUAGUUAACGUCCAUCAUCUGCAGGCACCUUCAGGAUGUGGAGCAUGCAGAGAUGACUCACGCCCACACCGGUGACCUCCAACACACCAGGGAAGGCAGGAAAAGGCUGUGUGCCAGGAUCUUGUUCUGGGCUAGAAAAGUAUGCCUGUUCGUUACCCGACCUUUGCUAAGUACACCAACUAAUGGAGCGAGAGACAUGAAAGAUCUUCACAGGCCAUGUGGAAAUGUAAUUCAAACCCAGCCCGAGGAGGUCAUAGUGUUCAGCAAGUAAACAUGGAGCCUGCUGAAGCUGGGAAUGCAAAGUGUGCAAGAAGCCUGCCUAUGGGAACCUACGGCUCAGCAGGGAGACAUGAAAUAGCUGGGAACGCCCCCUGCACAGUGUAAAGGGCGUGCUACCUUGGGAAGGGGACAGAAACAGAGGAGAGGGGGGAUCCUGGCCAGCAGGGGUGUCACAGAAGGCUUUUUAAAGGAGGGGGCCUUGGAGCUGAACUUUGAGGCCAGUGGCAUUCGAACACAUCCACGGGUCUCCCUUUCGGAUUUCAGUGCCCUCUUGGCCUUGGGCUGAUGAGCUAAGUUGCUACUGGAGAAUGACCUUUCACAGGAAAUUCAGAACCCCAGUCAUCAAUGUUUGACUACCCUGUCACCAAGUCCCUCCAUUGCCCUGGCUUGAUGUGGCUGCGAGAAGUCACCUGUUCAGGCCCCUCCUGCCUCCUCCACACACUGACCUCCCUCAGACUCAGAACAGCCGAUGCUGCCCUCUGAGGCCUGCCCCUUUGCACAGGCUUUGCCCACAUCUGGGCUCCUGGAUUCCUCAGAAGCCGGCUCCUGGGGCCUGUCCAGCAAGGCUUGGAAGCCCGGGUCCCCAAAGACCUGCUAGUUAAUGAGUUCUGCAAAAACUAGGUCUGUCUGUAAUCGAAAUGGGAGUACAAGGCUCACACGGUCCCUGAAUUAAUUCAGUCCUGUUAGAAAGGGAGCAAGGCAGAGUUUCUGCUGCUGUCUGCAGGACCCAUGGAGGGGUUCUAUGCACCAUUACUUCCAUUUGGGGACCCAUUGUUUUCCAUCACUUCAGCACAAUCUGGAAAACAUUCUCCAAGUCUAUUAUUCCUGUCUCCUGCUGCCACACUGAGGCAGUUGUUAACAAUGCCCUCUGCCCACCCCGGACCCCUCCUCCAUUUAAAUACCAGUCUGAUGGGCAAAGAGAGCAUUUAAUGACUGCUCCAGACUAAAAAGUUCCUAUUAUUUUAUUCCCUUCUUACUCCUGCCCAAUUUCCUUCCAGAUGGGGCAGGUGGGUAUAAAAUAUAUGGAGCUGGAAUUACAAUAGCAAGAAGACAGGUGGGGAAAUUGAAUGUGGUUGGAAAAUUUGUCCGUAUGCCUACAGGUGUGUCUUAUGAGAUCUUGCAGGCUACCACCACCCCCGCUACCCCAGCCUGGCCAUUCUCCAAAUGGUCUGGGAAUGGGGAAUAUGAGUGGCCAAGACUUCCCCUCCUGUUGGAGUGGUCUGAGUAUCCAGGCAGAAGGAAAGGAGAUAUUUAGCAAGGGGGCGCUUAGAAUGGCAGCCUUGAAGAGGUGCAGGCAGUGCUGACUUGACACUACCUUCACCAUCAGGUGUUGGGCCCCCAGUACGAUACCACAGAGUCUUUAUGCCUUCCUUCUGGAUUCUCUUCUUUCCUCUCCUUACUCAGAUGCCACCUCCAUUGGGAAGUCUUCCUUGAUUACCCCAGAGUUAGUUUCUCCGUCCUUUCUGCUCCUCUCUCUGCAUCCCUAUUAAAUGUGUUAUUGGUCUAUGAUGUUCUGCAUUACAACCUGUGUUUGAUGGCUGGUGACUUCCUGUACAGAGGAGAUUUAGGGACAUGCAUGCUUGAGAAAGACUCCUGUUCUCCACUUGCUUGCUGUGUGACUGUACAAAUUUCUAUUAUCUCUGUAACUCCAUCUGCAACAUGAGGACAAAAAAAUCUACGUCACAAGGCUGCUGUAAGGAGUAAGAUCCAGCUUCCUUCUCUCCACCUCAGCCAUUUACAGUCACUACUAUUGGGAAACUAGGGCUCUGGAGUCAGAUCAGCCUGGGUUUGAAUCCUGGCUCCACCACUUUCCAGCUGUCUUUGGCCCUGUUACAAUCCUUCUGUGCCUCAGUUUUUCAUCUGUAAAAUGGUGGUAACUCCUAUCCCAUAUCUCAUACACUUCUUGGGAGAAUAAACUAGGGUAAUGCACGUAGAUUGCUCAGCAUAGGCCUGGCAACAUUCUGAAAGUUAGCUAUCAUUAUUGGUAGUGUUGUCACUAAAACUGUGAGUUGGUGGAGUCCGAAAUCUCAGCCUAGUAUAGUGCCCAGAGCCCAGUGAGUACUGAGUAUAUAAAAAGGAAAAUGUUUCAUUGUAAACUGGGAACCAUGAUCCAAAUGUAAUGCUCAGAAAUGUCACCCCUUGUCAAUUAUGAAUGAUUAGGACAUGAUGCAGGU
rnacentral:lncRNA from 1 species